GUGGGGGUUCACCUCCAGCAGUACCCGAUUCCUUUUGUGCUUUGCUCCUGCAGGAACUGAGCUGGGUGAGAGCGACACAAACUUUUCCAGACAUUUCCACUUCAGGGUCCUGUUGGGCUCAGCAAGCACAGCAUGAAACCAUUCCCUGAGCAGUCACUGAAGCCUGAAUCAAAAGCAACAAGAAAAGGACCCUUCUCUUAUAGGUUUGCCAGAAAUGAGGCACACACACCUGUCAGGGUGAUGUGGGUGCUGAGGAACUUCACGGAGAGGUCAUCUCGAGUGGGAUUGCAGGAGAAGCAGGGCAUCAGGCCCAGCCUGGGUUAGGGCAGGUCCUGCCUGCCCAGCCUGAUCUCUGGGACCAGCUGACCUGCCCAGGGGCUGAGGCAGAGGGAUGUUGUCUAC
rnacentral:lncRNA from 1 species